AAAUUGAAGAGUUUGAUCAUGGCUCAGAUUGAACGCUGGCGGCAGGCCUAACACAUGCAAGUCGAACGGUAACAGGAAGCAGCUUGCUGCUUUGCUGACGAGUGGCGGACGGGUGAGUAAUGUCUGGGAAACUGCCUGAUGGAGGGGGGAUAACUACUGGAAACGGUGGCUAAUACCGCAUAACGUCGCAAGACCAAAGAGGGGGACCUUCGGGCCUCUUGCCAUCAGAUGUGCCCAGAUGGGAUUAGCUUGUUGGUGAGGUAACGGCUCACCAAGGCGACGAUCCCUAGCUGGUCUGAGAGGAUGACCAGCCACACUGGAACUGAGACACGGUCCAGACUCCUACGGGAGGCAGCAGUGGGGAAUAUUGCACAAUGGGCGCAAGCCUGAUGCAGCCAUGCCGCGUGUAUGAAGAAGGCCUUCGGGUUGUAAAGUACUUUCAGCGGGGAGGAAGGUGUUGUGGUUAAUAACCGCAGCAAUUGACGUUACCCGCAGAAGAAGCACCGGCUAACUCCGUGCCAGCAGCCGCGGUAAUACGGAGGGUGCAAGCGUUAAUCGGAAUUACUGGGCGUAAAGCGCACGCAGGCGGUCUGUCAAGUCGGAUGUGAAAUCCCCGGGCUCAACCUGGGAACUGCAUUCGAAACUGGCAGGCUUGAGUCUUGUAGAGGGGGGUAGAAUUCCAGGUGUAGCGGUGAAAUGCGUAGAGAUCUGGAGGAAUACCGGUGGCGAAGGCGGCCCCCUGGACAAAGACUGACGCUCAGGUGCGAAAGCGUGGGGAGCAAACAGGAUUAGAUACCCUGGUAGUCCACGCCGUAAACGAUGUCUACUUGGAGGUUGUGCCCUUGAGGCGUGGCUUCCGGAGCUAACGCGUUAAGUAGACCGCCUGGGGAGUACGGCCGCAAGGUUAAAACUCAAAUGAAUUGACGGGGGCCCGCACAAGCGGUGGAGCAUGUGGUUUAAUUCGAUGCAACGCGAAGAACCUUACCUGGUCUUGACAUCCACAGAAGAAUCCAGAGAUGGAUUUGUGCCUUCGGGAACUGUGAGACAGGUGCUGCAUGGCUGUCGUCAGCUCGUGUUGUGAAAUGUUGGGUUAAGUCCCGCAACGAGCGCAACCCUUAUCCUUUGUUGCCAGCGGUCCGGCCGGGAACUCAAAGGAGACUGCCAGUGAUAAACUGGAGGAAGGUGGGGAUGACGUCAAGUCAUCAUGGCCCUUACGACCAGGGCUACACACGUGCUACAAUGGCGCAUACAAAGAGAAGCGACCUCGCGAGAGCAAGCGGACCUCAUAAAGUGCGUCGUAGUCCGGAUUGGAGUCUGCAACUCGACUCCAUGAAGUCGGAAUCGCUAGUAAUCGUGGAUCAGAAUGCCACGGUGAAUACGUUCCCGGGCCUUGUACACACCGCCCGUCACACCAUGGGAGUGGGUUGCAAAAGAAGUAGGUAGCUUAACCUUCGGGAGGGCGCUUACCACUUUGUGAUUCAUGACUGGGGUGAAGUCGUAACAAGGUAACCGUAGGGGAACCUGCGGUUGGAUCACCUCCUUA
rnacentral:rRNA from 1 species